rnacentral:rRNA from 1 species
CCUACGGGUGGCAGCAGUGAGGAAUAUUGGUCAAUGGACGCGAGCCUGAACCAGCCAAGUAGCGUGCAGGAUGACUGCCCUACGGGUUGUAAACUUCUUUUAUACAAGAGUAAAGUGAAGCACGAGUACCUUUUUGUAUGUACUUUACGAAUAAGGAUCGGCUAACUCCGUGCCAGCAGCCGCGGUAAUACGGAGGAUCCAAGCGUUAUCCGGAUUUAUUGGGUUUAAAGGGAGCGUAGAUGGGUUGUUAAGUCAGUUGUGAAAGUUUGCGGCUCAACCGUAAAAUUGCAAGUGAUACUGGUAGUCUAGAGUAUAGUAGAGGUAGGCGGAAUGCGUGGUGUAGCGGUGAAAUGCGUAGAUAUCACGAAGAACACCGAUUGCGAAGGCAGCUUACUAAACUGCCACUGACAUUGAGGCACGAAAGUGUGGGGAGCAAACAGGAUUAGAUACCCUUGUAGUC